rnacentral:lncRNA from 1 species
UCUUUUAUAAAAAAUUUUAUUGAAACAUCAUCUAAAGGGACAAAAGACAAAAACAAACAAACAAAAAAAGAAACAUAGUCUAUUUACAGGGUCGUGUUCAGGUAUAUGGCAAAGUGAUUUCGUUAUACACACAGACAUAUAUCUACUUUUUUUUACAUUCUCUUCUCUAUCACAGGUCAUUGCAUGAUAUUGAGCAAGUUUCCUGUGCUCUACAGUAGGUCCUUGUUGCUUGUCCAUUUUAUAUAUAGAGUAGGGUGUAUAGAUUAAUCCCAAACUGGAUGCUUCUCUGAAUGGUACAAAAAUGUUGAUGGCUAAGAGAAGAUCUUAUGAAAGCAGAAGUCCUUGACCUUGGCCUCACUUAGGAUAAUCUCCUAAGAAGGCUGAAAAAUCCCGUUGGCCCUGGGAUUCUUGCUUGAAUCUCAUGGGUAGGACUCAGGCAUCGUAUUUUUAAUUAUCCAGGUGAUUCCACGUGCAGUCGAGUCCCAGAGCCCCCGGUGAGAGCCAACCACAACAUCCAAGCUCAAGGCCAUGGGAAGAAGGUAAGAAUGAAUAGACAACAGUAGGAAGGAUCUCUCCUGUGUGAGGUUUUCGUCACUUGGUAACAAUGGUUUGUAAAAUACAUCUUCAAGGAGUUCCCGCUAUGGGGCACUAGGAUAGGUGGGGCGCACAGGGUUUGAUCCCUGGCCCUGCACAGUGGGUUAGCUUGCAACUGUGGCUCGGAUCUGACCCCUGGCCCAGGAACUCCCUAGGCUGUGAGGCGGCCGAAAAAGAAAAAAAUAAAAAUCUUCAAAAGCAUGUGUUUGAAAUACACCUCUUCCCCCUAUCAUGGCAAAGACGGCUACGGGUCUGACCAUGAUCCAGACCUGUCGGAUUUGGGACUUGAAAUAUGGCAGAAGUGGAAUGGGCUUGCCUUUGGGGAAAGAGGCUGCAGGAUGUUAAAGCCACGGGUUCUAAAGAGUCGAGUCAGAACCUGACCUCAGUGACAUGACAGAUAGGCUUGCCCAAACGGUAGGAACAGUAUUUCUUCUGGUCAUUUCUCCAGAAAGCGUAUCCAGAAAAACCCAAGCUGCGAUUUCUGCGAGAGAGCACAAGAAUUCCAAAAUAUUCAUCGUGGUUAUUUUGACCAAAGUUUGAAAGCUGAGACCAUGGUAGUCAGCAAACAUGAAGUGUUAAAAUUCAUGGCUGAAGGAAUAACUUCUCCUUGGAGCACGCACGUCGCUCACGUGGGCCGCGGGGUGAUGACUGCGGGCUGCCCCUCUCUGGUUCCGUGUGGGAAGGAAUACUGCAUUAAAUUUGAUUUAAAUGGCCCCAGAAAAGGCAAUUUAGCACAUGUGCGUGAGCAUUUUAUUAUCGAGAGGAAAUUCAUUUCACAGGCAGAGAACCCACAACAAGACAUAUCAUGGUUGACAGUAUUCGGCGUCCUCGUUAAUGAUUCCAAGAGAGCCGCAGCGCCGAGACGUGACAAAGAAGCCUGACAUCGCAGGUUUGGGCCGAAUGCAAAGCGGCCAGGUCCUUGCAGCAAUGCUUUCCAGAUGCCCUGCCUUUUCCCGGCCAGAUCCCUGCCCACGGGACAUGGCACUGCCCCCAGGAGGACGCCUCCUAAGGCGCUCUGGAUAAAAAGAUGGGUUGGAGAGUAUGUAUUGAUUCUGACAGGGGAAGCGCCCCAUCUGGCCAUCAUCUCAGAAACGGGGGUUUUGGAAACCCAAGACGAAUGAAACCCGAUUCAGAAUUAACCCAGGACACACACUAUGAAUUAUGACACGAGACGCAGGCUCGGUACAAUAAAAAGACCCAAUGUGCCAAAUCGGAACAUGACUGCAACUCAUGACAAUUGCCUCUUCUGCGUGGGAGGCACUGCGCACAGGCUGAGGUCUCUCCUUUCUGGAUGCAUGCGACCGGAGAUACAAGCGUGUCCUUCGUUCUUGAAUGCUUGUGAUGUUUUCUCUCGCUUCCUCUCUGCCCCUUCCAGGAUUCACCUUUUCCUUUAGUUUUCUAUUCACUUUGAUAGAACCGAGCCCUGUGUCUCUGAACGUUUGUCUGGCUUGGAUGGGCCACGUCUUUUCCGCAGGCUCUAACUCAGCACCCUGCCUACUCAACAAACACACCUUUAGGGGGAGUGCGUGACUAAAGCUGGGAGGCAUACUGUCUUCUAUCUUUCCAGUCUGUUUUACCUGCACUGACUUCAGGACCUUGUCCUUUACUACUUCUGGAGCUUCCUCAAGACUCAGGGCUCAGGGCUCUUUCCAGCCGUGGAGCCCUCAUCAGUUCUCAUGGACAACAGGUGCGGUGAGCCGCAGCGCGUGUGGGUGCAAAGACCCCCUCGAGGCAACAGAGAGAGGUGGCAGGGAACCAGGUAUGUGGGGCUGGGAUUGAACAGGUAGCCUCGGGGGAAUGUGGGCAGACGGGACUUGGGAUUCGGUGAGCUGGGAGGCCACUUCUUAGCUGUGUAGGAAGGCUGGAUGUGAACUGGACAUGAGCGUGGUGAGGAAGCAGAAAGUGCACCCAUGGGGAAGGCGAGGCAAGGCUGGGGCUGGACCUGACCGAGGCUGGAGAUGGAGGAGAGAAGCCUUGUCUGGUUCAGAGGUAUGGUGGCCAGGAGCCACAUUCCACAGGGCUUGCUCCCCCUGGUGCUGAGGGGGUACCCCACUGGAGCAGCCCAGGGAUGGGCCGUGCUUAAGGAAAUGCACGAGGCAAAAGCCUGUGCUGUGAUUUUCCAGGGCGUGAUUAUAGUCAUGGGUGCAGAAAUCUCUGCCCUUCGAAUAGCCUGAGCAUUUGGAAAAAUCUCCUGCCUAUGUAAAGUCCCAGGCGAGGGGUCCAAUCGGAGCUGCAGCUGCCAGCCUACACCAUAGCCACAGCCCCGCGGAUCUCAGCCUCGUCUGAGACCUGCACCAUAGCUCACAGCAAUGCCGGAUCCUUAACCCACUGAGCAAGGCCAGGGAUCCAAGGCACAUUUUCAUGGAUCCUAGUUUGUAACCUGCUGAGCCACAAUAGGAACUCCCCAAAAGCUUCUUAAGGGCACAACGGGGAGACUUCUUGUGCUUCUUAGAUCAUCCAUAGAGUUCUGCAUGGCUGCUGAUUAAACUUUUCUCUUGUUUCAGUUACAUCAAGACCUCCAACACUUAGCAUCACCUUCUGGACCAACUAGAGGACAGUCAGUUAAAUUUGAAAUUCAGAUAAACGAUGAAUGCCUUUUUAGUCUUGAAGUCCGUCCUGAAUGUCGUAAGAGAUAUGCUUGUAUUAAAAAAUGACUCCUUGUUGAUCUAAAACUCUCAGUAGGCAUUCUGCGGGGUUUUUUGUUUGUUUGUUUGUUUGUUUUUGCCUUUUAUUUUUUUUUAUUUUAUGGCUGCACCUGCGGCUAUGGAGGUUCCCAGGCUAAGCGUCCCAUCAGAGCUGCAGCUGCCAUCCUACACCACAGCCACUGCAACACCAGAUCCGAGCCGUGUCUGCGACCUACACCAUAGCUCAUGGCAACGCUGGAUCCUUAACCCACUGAGCAAGGCCAGGGAUGGAACAUGUGGUCCUCAUGGAUGCUCGUCAGAUUCGUUUCCACUGAGCCCCGAUGGGAAAUCUUCAGCAUUUUUAUUUACCACAUCUGGGAAGCCCACUCAUGGCAGAUUUAAUGCCCAAUACAUGACUGGAGUGCAGUACUUUCUAAGGAAAUGCAAAAGUAGCAGGUGUCUCACCUUCCACCAGUGAAGAGGGGGCACAGAGAAGAAGCGCCUUGAGCCAGAGGGAGGAGACCAGACUGAAAGGCAAAUGUACAGAAACCAUCCCCUGAAGCUAAGAUCUGAGGACGCACAAGCUAUAAUUCAACUCAGGUUGGAUCACUGAUGAGGGCGUCACGGACGUGGACGGAAAGCUGCCUUAAAGACACAGAUUUUCAGGCAAAUGGGGAAGCCAGGUGUACUGGUCACCGAGAGCUGCCCGAACAAGGACCACAGACGGGGCAGCUUAAGCAACGGACAUUCAUCUUUUCAGUCAUGGAGGCUGGAGUCUGAGACCCUGGUGUGGGCAGGGCUGGUCCCUCUGGAGGCCUCUCUCUUGGGCGUGUCAACGGGCAUCUCCUCCCCGUGUCCUCACAGGGCCGUCCCUGGGGUUAUGUCUGCAUCCUGAUCUCCUCUUCUUCUAAAGCCCCCUGUCCUGGGGAUCAGGACCCCCUCUAGGGACCUCAUGGUACAUUCACCCCUCUGGAAAGACCCAUCUCCAAACACAGUCACAUUCCGAGAUCCUGGGGGUUCGGACUUGAAUAUGUGAAUGGAGGGGUGGGUAUCAUUUAGCCCAGAAGAACAGGUGGACGUCCUCAGAGAAGACAAUGCUGUCAACACAACCAGCCAAGUUCACUCACCACUUACUACACAGUACCGUCAACACAACCAGCCAAGUUCGCUCACCACUUACUACACAGUACCAUAAACCCAACCAGCCAAGUUCACUCACAACUUACUACACAGUACCAUCAACACAACCAGCCAAGUUCACUCACAACUUACUACACAGUACCAUCAACACAACCAGCCAAGUUCAUUCACCACUUACUACACAGUACUGUCAGCACAACCAGCCAAGUUCACUCACAACUUACUACACAGUACCAUCAACACAACCAGCCAAGUUCCCUCACCACUUACUACACAGUACCGUAAACACAACCAGCCAAGUUCACUCUCCACUUACUACACAUACCAUCAACACAACCAGCCAAGUUCACUCUCCACUUACUACACAGUACCAUAAACCCAACCAGCCAAGUUCACUCACAACUUACUACACAGUACCAUCAACACAACCAGCCAAGUUCGCUCACCACUUACUACACAGUACUGUCAACACAACCAGCCAAGUUCACAGCUCACUUACUAGACAAUAUUGUAAAGACAACCACCCAAGUUCACUCAUCACUGACGUUUCCACUUCAGUGCCAUUCAUUCAUUCUUUUUUUUAUAAAUUUUUCCAAAGCACCAAAAACUCUUUUCCCAGACUGUUAAUGCCAGAGCCUGACCUAGAUGUCACAAAGAGCUACUAAAAUGCCCUGCUCCGAAAGCUGGGGAAGUAAAAAGAACUCACCUUUCUGAGACAAGUGUGAACAUAAUCGCUCCAUCACAAUUACAAAAGGAGGGGUUCAUACAGGUUAUGGAGGGGGGGUUCCUUACAGUGGAAACUCCUACAGGAAACAGCACUCUAUGCAAUCAGUGUAAACUUAGAAAAAUGAGCAUAGAAAACGUUGGAGCACAAAGGCUGACUCUCGAUUCCCAGGGAGGGUAUGUGGUACUUGGAAUGUUGGUAGGGUUUUUAAUUUUUUUGCUAACUUUUUUUUCUUUUUUUAAGGCCAUGCCUGCAGCAUGUAGAUAGUGCCAGGUUAGAGGUCGGAAUUGGAGCUGCAGCUGCAGGUCUACGAGACAGCCACAGCAACACCAGAUCCGAGCCACACCGGCAACCGAUGCGACAGCUCACGGCCACGCCGGAUCCUUUACCCACUGAGCGAGGCCAGGGAUCGAACCCACAUCCUCACAGACACUAUGCUGGGUCCUUAUCUUGCUGAGCCACAAGAACUCCAUAAUUUUUUGCUAAUUUUACUCCCCAUAAGCACUCCCAUAUGAAAAAAAAACUGUUCAAAUGCAGUAUUUUACUUAUGAUCCCAGCCUCCAAACCUUUAGCUCUCCGUGACUUUAAUGACGUUUCUGUCAUCGAGGCUUCCAGAGUUGAUCUCUGUCAGCCCUCGCUGGAGAGAGAUCUGUGGGACAAGGUUCCACUUCCUGGGAGCAAGCAGACGGGGCCGCCGUGUCCCCAGCACCGUGUGUGUCCCCGUGGGAAGCUCGGCUCCCAGUGUGCGCCUGUGCUGGGAGUCAGGACACAGGCACUCUCUUGUUGUCUGAAAAGCCCCCCUUCUCUCGAGGGCGCCUGGAGGAGCUCCGUCUUGGCCAAACCACAUCUGCGGUCCUGCCAUCCCGCCCAGGAUGCGCUGCCUGGCCUCCGCCGUCCUAAGUCUCUCUCCCUAAGAAGUCUCGCAGUCUCACGGGAGUCAAUGGGUCCUACAGAAGCUCCUUUUCCAGGUACACAUACAUGUAUACAUUCUUUUUUCUCACAUCAUGGGUGACCAUGCUGUACAGUAGGAAAAAAUAAUAAUAUAUGGGGGGAAAAUAAUAAUAAAUUAAAAAAAAAAAAAAAAGCAGCAGCUCCUUUUCUGAAGGUGGCCUCGGAAAAGCAGACGAGUUGGGUCCCCAGGCAGACACAGGCGAGGGAGUACCUUUCCCAGACGGACUUCUUGUUCAUUUAAUGCCACCAUAAGGAGGAGCCUGCCCGUUGCUACAGGAGACAUGGAGAGAGAGAACGGCCUUCACCAAAGGGAGCCCGUGGGUCCCCAGCCUUUGAGAUCUGUUAGCUGCGGAAUGGACUGAAAGUAUCUUUUUUAAAAAAUUAAUUAUCCUGGGAGUAUCCAUCGUGGCUCAGUGGAAAGGAAUCUGACGAGCAUCCCUGAGGAUGCAGGUUGAAUCCCUGGCCUCAAUCCGUGGGUUAAGGAUCCAGUGUCGUCGGGAGCUGUGGUGUGGGUCGCAGACGCAGCUCGGAUCUGGCGUUGCUGUGGCUGUAGGGUAGGCUGGUGGCUACAGCUCCAACUGGACCCCAAGCCUGGGAACCUCCACAUGCCGUGGGUGCAGACCUAAAAAGACAAAUGACAAAAAAGACAUGAAUUAUAUUGGCGUAGAGUUGAUUUACAACGUUGUAUGAGUCAGCAAAGUGACUCAGCCUUAAGAGACAUCUGUCCAUUGUUUUUUUUUCCCCAUAAAGGUUAGUUCAGACUAUGGAGGAGAUUUCCCCACGCUCCACAGUAGGUUCUCAGGGACCAUCUCUUUCACUGUCAUGUGUGUCCUUUCAUCCCACUUCUGCCAGGGAUCCCAGCUCAGGAGUCACACCUCCUACGCCGAGCCUGCGCCCUCAAAAAAAGCCGUCAGGGACAUUCACGAUGUGCAGGCUCUGCCCACCCCCAAAUGCCCUGUCCCUCUGGGGAACAGAGAGUCCUCGGAGCCCUUUUUUGGGAAACGGACAGGCUCGUGGUUUCCUGGCCCC